GAUGAACGCUGGCGGCGUGCCUAAUACAUGCAAGUCGAGCGAACAGACGAGGAGCUUGCUCCUCUGACGUUAGCGGCGGACGGGUGAGUAACACGUGGAUAACCUACCUAUAAGACUGGGAUAACUUCGGGAAACCGGAGCUAAUACCGGAUAAUAUAUUGAACCGCAUGGUUCAAUAGUGAAAGACGGUUUUGCUGUCACUUAUAGAUGGAUCCGCGCCGCAUUAGCUAGUUGGUAAGGUAACGGCUUACCAAGGCAACGAUGCGUAGCCGACCUGAGAGGGUGAUCGGCCACACUGGAACUGAGACACGGUCCAGACUCCUACGGGAGGCAGCAGUAGGGAAUCUUCCGCAAUGGGCGAAAGCCUGACGGAGCAACGCCGCGUGAGUGAUGAAGGUCUUCGGAUCGUAAAACUCUGUUAUUAGGGAAGAACAAAUGUGUAAGUAACUAUGCCCGUCUUGACGGUACCUAGUCAGAAAGCCACGGCUAACUACGUG
rnacentral:rRNA from 1 species